rnacentral:rRNA from 1 species
GACGAACGCUGGCGGCGUGCUUAACACAUGCAAGUCGAACGAGAGGAGAAGGAAGCUUGCUUCUUUCAAAUCUAGUGGCGCACGGGUGAGUAACACGUAGGUGACCUGCCGUUUAGAGGGGGAUAACCAGAAGAAAUUUUGGCUAAUACCGCAUACGAAGAACGAAUUUAAAUAUAGUUCUUGAAAGGAUGCCUCUGUAUAUGCAUCUACUAAACGAUGGGCCUGCGGUACAUUAGCUAGUUGGUGGGGUAAUGGCCUACCAAGGCGACGAUGUAUAACGGAUCUGAGAGGAUGAUCCGUCACACUGGAACUGAGACACGGUCCAGACUCCUACGGGAGGCAGCAGUGGGGAAUAUUGGACAAUGGGCGAAAGCCUGAUCCAGCAAUUCUGCGUGAGUGAGGAAGGACUUCGGUCUGUAAAGCUCUGUUAAUGUGGAAAAAUGGUUAGCGGUCUAAUAGGCCGUUGAUUUGAUGGUACACAUAGAGGAAGCACCGGCUAACUUCGUGCCAGCAGCCGCCGUAA